rnacentral:tRNA from 1 species
GAAAAUCCGUUGACUUUAAAAAUCGUGAGGGUUCAAGUC